CAGUCCCAUCUGGAGGGCAGAGCCCUCCCAGCACAAUGAUAGCCAACAGCUGUAGUUGUAAGCUUAAACUUAUGGUCCGAACACGUGGUCCCACGUGCCUGAGUGAUAUGGGCUUGAUAGAGUUCAGGUGCAUGUAAUUGAGUAGGAUCCAAACCUACGAGAAUGUUGUAAACAUCUUGAUUACGCCCUUCCUUUGCCUCGUGGCAUCUGGCUAUAAAAUGAAGACA